rnacentral:rRNA from 1 species
AUGGUGAAAGGGGCGUCAGGUUUAUGCUUACUGGUUGGAGGCGCCAUCCAGCGCAUCAUGGAGAGGCAAGAGCCGGGGAUGGGCGCUGGGCCGCAAGGAGAUGUAGAAAACCCAUCUUCUGUUCCGAGGCUAGUGGUCGUCAGCUCACUUGAAGAGCUGGAGGAAGUAUUGAGUGAGUGGAAGGCAUCGAUCACAGCGCUAUCUAUUGACGUGAGUCAAGACAUGCCCUUCACCAUGGCGAACGAGUGCUUUGAGCGGCUUGAAUUGGAUGGCUUGCAAGCUCAGAAUAUGAUCCAAGCAGGCCAAUGUAUGAAGCUAAAGCGUGCUGAGUACCUGCGUGCCCAGGCGCAGGAGGAUGCUGGGGACAUGAGCCACAGCGGAGCACCAGUGGCCCCGGGGUCAUGA